AGUCGACGGCUCUUCGGAGCAGUGGCGAACGAGGUAGUAACACGUAGGUACGUACCCCAUAGUCGGGCAUAGCCAGCCGAAAGGUUGGGUAAUUCCCGAUGGCCCCGCAAGGGUAAAGAAUUUCGCUAUGGGAGCGGCCUGCGUUGUAUCAGCUUGUUGGUAAGGUAAUGGCUUACCAAGGCUACGACGCAUAGGGGAGGUGAGAGCCUGACCCCCACCGAUGGGACUGCGACACGGCCCAUACUCCUACGGGAGGCAGCAGCCGAGAAUAUUCCGCAAUGGACGAAAGUCCGACGGAGCGACGCCGCGUGCAGGAUGACGGUCUUCGGAUUGUAAACUGCUUUUAUGAGGGAGGAAAUUUUGACGUUACCUCAUGAAUAAGAGGCUCCUAAUUCCGUGCCAGCAGGAGCGGUCAUACGGAAGCCUCGAGCGUUACCCGGAAUCACUGGGCGUAAAGGGUGUGUAGGUGGUUGUAUUAGUCUUCUGUUAAAGAUCCGGGCUCAACCCGGGAAAUGCGGAGGAAACGGUACAACUAGAGGGUAUGAGAGGUGUGCGGAACUCAUGGUGUAGGGGUGAAAUCCGUUGAUAUCAUGGGGAACACCAAAUGCGAAGGCAGCACACUGGCAUAUUCCUGACACUGAGACACGAAAGCGUGGGUAGCGAACGGGAUUAGAUACCCCGGUAGUCCAUGCCCUAAACGAUCCUAACUAGCUUUGGGGAGUAUCGACCCUCUCCGAAGCGAAGCUAACGCGUUAAGUUAGGCGCCUGGGUAGUACGAGCGCAAGCUUAAAACUCAAAGGAAUAGACGGGGACUCGCACAAGCGGUGGAGCGUGCGGCUUAAUUCGUCGCUAAGCGAAGAACCUCACCAAGGCUUGAAACCUAGCUGAAAGCUCUCAGAACGAGAGCCCUCUUCGGACUGCUAGGCAGUGAUGCAU
rnacentral:rRNA from 1 species